UACGUAGGGGGCAAGCGUUAUCCGGAUUUACUGGGUGUAAAGGGAGCGUAGACGGCAGCGCAAGUCUGGAGUGAAAUGCCGGGGCUCAACCCCGGAACUGCUUUGGAAACUGUGCGGCUAGAGUGCGGGAGAGGUAAGCGGAAUUCCUAGUGUAGCGGUGAAAUGCGUAGAUAUUAGGAGGAACACCAGUGGCGAAGGCGGCUUACUGGACCGUAACUGACGUUGAGGCUCGAAAGCGUGGGGAGCAAACAGG
rnacentral:rRNA from 1 species